GAACGCACAUUGCGCCCGCCAGUAUUCUGGCGGGCAUGCCUGUCCGAGCGUCAUUUCAACCCUCGAACCCCUCCGGGGGGUCGGCGUUGGGGAUCGGCCCUUUACGGGGCCGGCCCCGAAAUACAGUGGCGGUCUCGCCGCAGCCUCUCCUGCGCAGUAGUUUGCACACUCGCAUCGGGAGCGCGGCGCGUCCAUUGCCGUAAAACACCCAACUUUCUGAAAUGUUGACCUCGGAUCAGGUAGGAAUACCCGCUGAACUUA
rnacentral:misc_RNA from 1 species